AUACGGAGGGUGCAAGCGUUAUUCGGAAUCACUGGGCGUAAAGGACGCGUAGGCGGGAUGCCAAGUCUGAUGUGAAAUCCUAUGGCUCAACCAUAGAACUGCAUUGGAAACUGGUAACCUAGAGUAUGGGAGGGGGAGAUGGAAUUAGUGGUGUAGGGGUAAAAUCCGUAGAUAUCACUAGGAACACCUGCGGCGAAGGCGGGUAGCUGGGCCAACACUGACGCUAAAGCGCGAAAGCUAGGGGAGCAAACGGGAGUAGAUACCCGAGUAGUCC
rnacentral:rRNA from 1 species